rnacentral:rRNA from 1 species
GACAGAGGGACCUAGCGUUGUUCGGAUUUACUGGGCGUAAAGGGUGCGUAGGUGGUUGUUUAAGUAGAGUGUUAAAGCCCUGGGCUCAACCCAGGAAUCGCAUUUUAGACUGAAUGACUUGAGUAUGGGAGAGGAAAGUGGAAUUCCUAGUGUAGAGGUGGAAUUCGUAGAUAUUAGGAGGAACACCAGAGGCGAAGGCGACUUUCUGGCCCAUAACUGACACUGAGGCACGAAAGCGUGGGGAGCAAACAGG